ACCCUUUUCACUGCUAAGCUAGUGGCAUACUAUUGAGUUGCCAACCAUACAGGGACACUUACUGUUACAGCGUAUCCCAGGUUCAACUGUUAAGCCUUGUUUAGAAAAGUACUAAUUAAGCCUGAUAUUUACUACUCAAACGCUUAUAUCUUGAAUCGUUAUUUUGUGUUUUAUAUUUAAAAAAAAUAUAUGCAAACCCAACAUGCCAUAACACUGUUUUGCUAAGACCAUACAAAUUGAGCCUGCUGAUGUUCUUGUGGCGACACAG